UACGGGGGGGGGCAAGCGUUGUUCGGAAUUACUGGGCGUAAAGGGCUCGUAGGUGGCCAACUAAGUCAGACGUGAAAUCCCUCGGCUUAACCGGGGAACUGCGUCUGAUACUGGAUGGCUUGAGAUUGGGAGAGGGACGCGGAAUUCCCGGUGUAGUGGUGGAAUGCGUAGAUAUCGGGAGGAACACCAGUGGCGAAGGCGGCUUCCUGGACCUGUUCUGACACUGAGGAGCGAAAGCGUGGGGAGCGAUCCGG
rnacentral:rRNA from 1 species